AGUGGGGAAUAUUGCACAAUGGGGGAAACCCUGAUGCAGCAACGCCGCGUGAGUGAUGAAGGUCUUCGGAUCGUAAAGCUCUGUCUUCAGGGACGAUAAUGACGGUACCUGAGGAGGAAGCCACGGCUAACUACGUGCCAGCAGCCGCGGUAAUACGUAGGUGGCGAGCGUUGUCCGGAUUUACUGGGCGUAAAGGGAGCGUAGGCGGAUUUUUAAGUGAGAUGUGAAAUACCCGGGCUCAACUUGGGUGCUGCAUUUCAAACUGGAAGUCUAGAGUGCAGGAGAGGAGAGUGGAAUUCCUAGUGUAGCGGUGAAAUGCGUAGAGAUUAGGAAGAACACCAGUGGCGAAGGCGACUCUCUGGACCGUAACUGACGCUGAGGCUCGAAAGCGUGGGGAGCAAA
rnacentral:rRNA from 1 species